AUUUUCAAGCCCAGCCCAACUCCCCAACUUAAUCUCUAUAAAACCUGGGAGAGAAAAACGCAAUUAGGGUUCUUAACAAGACAGCCGCUCAUCAGCGCGCAGGCGUCUCCUUCCUCGCUGCCCAGCGAUAUUUCCAGCCCUUCACAUUAACGAAUGGCAUCAUAGUACGGGUUUGUUUUUGCACUGUCAAAUGGAUUUGAGUUUGGGAUUUUUCUAAUAGAAAAGGCAAAAUACAGCCUUUUUUUUCCCCAGGAUUUCCCUAUUCUGUCCGUUUGGCUGAUAAUCGUCGCAAAUCCGCCUCCAAUUGCCCUUACAUUAUACGCAUUUGUUGCUUUUGAAUUUGGAAUUGGGAAAGUGUUUUUGUGUUCUGAGGAGUUGCUUUGUUCGGGUGUUUUGCAAUUUUAGGUUUUAAGAAAUUCCGUUUGGGGUUCCAAUGGAAGUUGGUUUGUUUGUGGUUUGUGGUUUGUGAAGGAUCGACAUCUUCUUCAUCGCAGGUUCUAUAUGAAAGAGGGUAGACUUGCUCAACAGUUUCGAUUGGCCAAUUUGUUGAAUUAAAAUUUGAUAUUUCAAGCAUCAAUCUUGGUUUAAAUUUCGUGGUUUUUAGUUCUAGCUGUAGCUGCUCUGAUUCAAUUCAAGUAGUUGGGAUUUUUUUUUCUAUUCCCAUUUCUUAAAAACUUUUUUUGUUUCGAAAUAGUUGUUUUUGUCGCCAAGUAUUAAGCAUCCAUCUUGAAGUUGUUCUUAGGCCAUUUAUUCUGAAUAUGCAGUUAUUACAUUAAAUUUAUUUCAA